rnacentral:rRNA from 1 species
UACGGAGGGUGCGAGCGUUGUCCGGAAUCACUGGGCGUAAAGGCGCGUAGGCGGCUGGGGAAGUCGGCGGUGAAAGCCCGGAGCUCAACUCCGGGUCGGCCGUCGAGACUCCUCGGCUCGAGCUCACUAGAGGCAGAUGGAAUUCCAGGUGUAGCGGUGAAAUGCGUAGAUAUCUGGAGGAACACCGGUGGCGAAGGCGGCAUUCUGGACCUAACUGACACUGAGAGACGAAAGCCAGGGGAGCAAACGGG